rnacentral:tRNA from 1 species
AUGGGGAUAGCUCAAUUGGGAGAGUAUCAGACUAAAGAUUUGAAGGUUGCGUGUUUGAUCCAUGCUCAUCGUA